AGAUACAGAAGGAACUCAGGGGAAGGAAAACCCUUCUGCUUCCUAUUUUGGAUCAGUUCUGUAUCUGCUGCUCAAUACUUCCUAUAUUGUAACUUCACUUCUAUUUUAUUUUAUAAUUAUUCAUCAGCCCUCAAGUCAGAGAUGAAAUCUUACCUCUGGCUCCUGAAAAUCCAGUUCUGUGCCAGACUACCACAUAGUAACAUCUACAACAACGAACAGUUACCUGUUACCUAUUCUCUGAGAGGUAUCCUACUGGAAGCUAGCUUCAUACACAUUUUCCCAAUUGAUUUCCACAAUGCAAUAGGCAUGAUUGAUGCAUUCAUAAUAUCUCUAUUUCACAGAGUGAUAUCGAACAACUUGCCCAACAACUAUUAGGUGGAGGGGCCAGUAUUAGAAGCCCAUCAGUAUGAUGCCAAGUCCUAUGCUCUAAAUCACUUCCAAAUCUUAACCUACCAAUGAUUUAGUGAUGAAUGAAUGAAUAAACGAAUGUCCCUCUUUCUCUGUAAGGUGGUUCCUCUUCCACUAGCAUUUCAUAAAGCUUUUGGAAGAGGUCAGACACAUUUAAACAUUUUUCUUUUACUUUAAAAUGAGAGAUGUUGAAAUUGAAUUGAUAAAAGUGAAAUUAGUCAUUCCAGAGGAGUCACAAGUGCCAGACACAUGCAAGGUGUUGGGACAGAUAAGGGUAAUGAAUACUGAAUAUUGACUUGAAAAGGCUGGAAAUGGAGCCCUCACAGUUAUCUAGAUGGGAUCACAUUAUGGUUCUGUUCCAUAUGACCAAUAAAAUAAUAGGACCAGGGGUGACAAUUUCAGGGGAGGGAGAUGGUUGCUUUCUGGACAGCUUCCCCAAGUUCCUCUCCUCCCCUAGCCAAUCCAGCUGCUUUACUUUGUCCUCUCUGCUGAGAGAGGACUUCUCAUUCUUCUCCAGCUGCAAGGCAUUAAAGGGACGGAAUUACAGGGAGGAAGCUUGUCUGUGCACAGGAAAAAUGAGCUGCACUGGGUUUGGCAGGAUUUGGCAGCUGUUCCACAUCGGCCUCUGUAAUAAGUGCCUCCUUCGGAUCCGGCUGCUCCCCAUUUGA
rnacentral:lncRNA from 12 species